rnacentral:rRNA from 1 species
AGUCGAACGGCAGCGCGGGGCAACCUGGCGGCGAGUGGCGAACGGGUGAGUAAUAUAUCGGAACGUACCCAAGAGUGGGGGAUAACGUAGCGAAAGUUACGCUAAUACCGCAUACGAUCUAUGGAUGAAAGUGGGGGAUUCGCAAGAACCUCAUGCUCCUGGAGCGGCCGAUAUCUGAUUAGCUAGUUGGUGAGGUAAAGGCUCACCAAGGCGACGAUCAGUAGCUGGUCUGAGAGGACGACCAGCCACACUGGAACUGAGACACGGUCCAGACUCCUACGGGAGGCAGCAGUGGGGAAUUUUGGACAAUGGGCGCAAGCCUGAUCCAGCAAUGCCGCGUGAGUGAAGAAGGCCUUCGGGUUGUAAAGCUCUUUUGUCAGGGAAGAAACGGCUGGGGAUAAUACCCUCGGCUAAUGACGGUACCUGAAGAAUAAGCACCGGCUAACUACGUGCCAGCAGCCGCGGUAAUACGUAGGGUGCAAGCGUUAAUCGGAAUUACUGGGCGUAAAGCGUGCGCAGGCGGUUUUGUAAGUCUGUCGUGAAAGCCCCGGGCUCAACCUGGGAAUUGCAAUGGAGACUGCAAGGCUUGAAUCUGGCAGAGGGGGGUAGAAUUCCACGUGUAGCAGUGAAAUGCGUAGAGAUGUGGAGGAACACCGAUGGCGAAGGCAGCCCCCUGGGUCAAGAUUGACGCUCAUGCACGAAAGCGUGGGGAGCAAACAGGAUUAGAUACCCUGGUAGUCCACGCCCUAAACGAUGUCUACUAGUUGUCGGGUCUUAAUUGACUUGGUAACGCAGUUAACGCGUGAAGUAGACCGCCUGGGGAGUACGGUCGCAAGAUUAAAACUCAAAGGAAUUGAC